GGGGGGGGGGCCGACGCAGUAAAAGCGCGGUGCGACCGGCCCAGCUAGGGACUCCAGGACGUGGCCUCUCCUGGCGCAGUCUGCACCUCUGCUAGCAGAGAUCUCCAGAAUCACUGUGCAAAGUGAUUCACCAAGGCCGGAAGUCACUCCUGCCACUGCUGGCGUCCAAGCCUUUUAUUGGGUUUGUUAGUGCAGUUUGUUGCCUGUUUUUCCUUUUGGCCUCCUGGCUCAAGGGGUCCUUUAGGAACCAAUGACUCCUUGAAAGCCUCCUCUGGCCAGCCUGGUGGCGCACCCCUGUACUAUCGAGCCAGCACUAGCGAGGCUGAGGUAGGAGGAACGCGGCAAAUUUGAGGACAGCCUGGGCUACAAAGUGAGACCUUGUCUCAAAAAAUAUUAAAUUAAAUUACAUUUUUUAAAUAUAAAUAAAUAAAAGGCUCCUCUAUUACCCCACAAGCUGUUCAUUCCCAGCUCCUCCACAACCCACUUUGCUGGUUACAAAGGGGUAUAUGGACAGUGCUAUGUGGAUUUUUCAACAAAGACCGUGAGUUUUCAAUAAUGCAAGUUUUAUAUCGUGGAUUUUUUUGAAAAUAUAAUUUAUCAGUCAUUCGUGUCACUCACAUUUUGCUCAUCCAUCAACCCUACAAGACGAACAGUAAGAUGGGUGACAAUCACCCUGCUUGACAGCUUUUCCAAGUACAGGUAACAUAACACAAGCGUGCAAUUGGCAUUCAGAAAAUGACAAGGUAGAAGCUCCCAAGGAAGUGAGCUAAUUUCUAGAGCUUCCACCCUAAUAAGCUAAAAGCGCCAAAGCACUAUUCAGGUCAUUUGGGGCCUCACGUAGGGCACCCUGACAGCAGCAGCAUGGCUGAAGAGAAAAACUACCCUCCUGGAAGAGAAGGCAGGAGGCACAGCCUCUGUCUCUUGGGAAUUUGCCUUAGCAUUCAAACGGUUUUCAGUAACAAUGGAGCGAGUACCAGGAGCACCAGCAGGCCCUGGGAGCUGCCCUUUCCACUGCUGACUCAGGAAUCCCGAGAGUCGCUGGACCUCGCUGGGUCCGGCGCCCUCAUCGAUAAACCAAGACAAGUUAGUAGGGGCAGCAAGAACCAUCCCAGCCUUUUUACUUCUAAAUGUCUAAUUCAUGUAUCAGGAAAAAACACGAGACCCGCAGAAGUCAAGGAAAAGUCUAAUUCUCCAGCUGAAAGGACAGUUGACUUCAAAUCUCAUUUUUGCUUAAUAUCUUCAAAUUCUUCUGAGCCCAAGUCUUUCGUGACCAUGACAAAUGAGGAACAAAUGUAUUUCUUCUAAACGUCUUCGUGCCCGUGUGUCCCUGGGCAGGACUAGAAAGGACCCUGAAGACCCAGCCCUCCCUCCUGCCCUUUCCCUUCCCAUCCUGGAGCUCCUGGGUGGAGCACAGCUCAGAGCCCAGUGGCCCCAAAGUGGGUACCAGAGCCCCAGUGAGGGCAGAGAGACUCCAGCAGGAGGGGAUGGAGUGGGCAGCUGGCGUGUGAGGGGUCACGGAUCUGGGAAUGGUAUGGGCUACGAGAAGAUGCCCUCAGAGGUAGGCAUGGGGGUGCCUGGCAGGGUCUGCUAGCUUUCAGGGGGAUGAGGGGUGCAUCCUUCUCAAUAUAGCCUACUUGGAAGAGAGGGAGGCCUGGGGUGGCUGCUGGAGCCCGAAUGGAGUGGAGGGAAUCCAUGGAGAUAGAAAGAGACAACCAACACAGGAAGCUGGGACUGGGCAGGUGAAGCAAGUGUCUGUGCUGAUGGAUACAGAGUGAUAGUGAUGUUCCUGGGGUGGGGGUAAGGAGCAGCAGCCUGUGGGGAAGGGAAACCAGGACCCAGGAAGCAUAAGAGAGGAAGAGGGAAUAGGGGAACAGAACUGGAUUAAUUAUGGUAUAGGUCAACAUUCCCAUCUUUGGGGAAAAAAAUAGCUGAUGUCAAUGUCUGAAGCUUAAGGAGGGUUCAGUCCAUGGUUGUAGGCUCCAAGGCAAGGCCAUCAUGGCAGAAGGACCUGGUGGAGCAAAGCUGCUCAGCUCGUGGUGGCCAAAAGCAGAGAGAGAGAAAGGAGAUAGGGACAAGGAUGCAAACUCCCAGGUCAGCCUCCGUCGACCUGCCUCUUCCCACCAGACCCUACCUGGGAACAGUACAUCACCCAUUAAUUCCUCAAGGAUGAAUCUGCUCAUGAGCACAGUACACCCAUGACCCAGUCAGCCCCCCCAAAAGCCCCACCUCUGAACAGGAGUCUUGGGGGGCAUUCUAGAUCCAAAGCAUAACAGCUAUACACAAGGUGCUAUGCUUUAUAUCUAGAUGUCCCCCAAAGCCUCAUGCACUCAUAGGUGGGGCUUUGGGGGAUGACCUGAAUCAUGGGUGUGUGAUGCUGGAUUAAUCUACUGAUGGGUUUACAGCUGGGCAUGAUGUUGUGAGAUGAAUCCUGAUUGGAGGAGGUGAGUCACCGAGGGCGUGGCCCGGAAGGGUCUGUCUCCUCCUCCUCCCUUGAUCUCUCUCUACUUCCCACUGCAGUGCCAGGAGCUGUUUCUCCUCUGUCAAGCCCCUCUGCCAUGCUGCCUUGCCUUGAAACUAGCAGAAUAGGAACUCAAACGGGGAUGGAACUCUGGUCCUUGCACUUGUGCAGCAGGCAGCGAAAACCAUUGAGCUAAAUCCCCGACCCUGAUUCAAAAUUUUAAAAAGAAACAUUGAGUACUAUUAAGGAAAGGAAAAGUUUGGGUAACAGAUUACAUUGAAAGUAAAAUUAAAAUUGUGCUAAACUGCUAAUUUUAUAAAUUCCAGUGAAAUUAAUGUCCUUAUUAAUACAUCUUUUCAGUAUUUGCAUCACCAUGCCUACUGUCUAGGAAUCCAACACUAAACUGAGACCCCCAUUUUACCUCUACAAAGCUGGGAUCAUAGGUCAGAGAGAUGUGAGACCAUUGCAGUGGUGAAGAUUUUAAAGGUCAUGGCAGAGCUGAACAUGCAGGAGGUCCUGGAUUCAAAACACAUGCGUGCACACACACAUGUACACCCACGCACGCACACAUACACACAGCAGUGGUGAGAGAGGAGCUCUGUGGCUGCAGGUGAUAGUGAGCAAAUAAUUCAUAGGAAGGGCACCCUGAGUUAAAAGAGUGGGUAAUAGUUUGACAGACGAGGAGACACACAUCCCAGGAAGAAGAAUGCUAACUAAAAAGCCCAGGAUGCCUCAGAAUGCAGGGGACAGUGACAGAACAUGGAUCUGAAGCACUGGAGCAUCUGGUACAAUAAGGCAGUCAGGACAGCCUGCAAGUCCCUUUGGACCCAAGACAUCUAGUGACACAGAACAAAUGCCUGCAAGGAUCUUCUGCUCAAAGCAAAUCCCCUCCCCAAGUUUAAGCUUCCUUUUUGAUGUAUUGCCAGUAUUGAAUAAUAUUCAGUCCCCGUUAUUACAAAUAUACUACAGCUCAGACUCUUAAAUAAGGACAAAGCCAGUGGCUCCACCCAGAUCACCUGUCUACUUGGCCACUGAUACUGAGACCACCAGUGUAGGAACCAGUUCCCUGCAGGCCUCUCUGAAUUUGUCCCUCAGUCUAUAAAGUAGGGAUCAAGGGAACUUCUGCUUGGUUUCAGUUUCAUCACCAAGGAACUAUGACAGCCGGAUGUGCUAAAGAAUGGAAAACCCCUCACCAACUGCAGGUGUUCUCAGAAGCUAGGACUGCAGAGUAACGUGACCGGGGUGACAGGCAUGGUGGCCACCAGUGGGAAUGAGGUGAGGCCACCAGGAAUAUCCCAGAACAAAGAGUGCUUUUACCCCACAAGAUUCGUGAGGAAAUUAAAGCACUAAUCAGGAAUAGAUAGAACCAUAGAUAGCAUCAAGUCUAAUCCGGUCGCUGCUUGGAUAAGGAAACACAACUCCAGAGUUAAGUGAUUGGUCAAGUGGCACAUUUAGCCUGGAGACAAGCCCUGGCCUGUCUCUUCCACUUCAGCCACAAAGCAAGUGCUGAUGACUAUACUGUGGGUCACACAGGAGAUACCCCAAGUCUGAAAUGCUUCGGACCAGAAGUGCUUCCCAGUGUAGGACAUUUGCACACAAUGACAUUUUCUGGGGAGGGGACUCCACUCUAAACACAAAGCUCAAUUGUGUUUCAUAUGCACCUUAAAC
ensembl:lncRNA